CAGCAAAGUUAAAGUUACAAGGUACUAGGCAAUAGAUGAGAAUUUUAGAAUUUUUGGUGCUUUUGUGAAUGGGAACCUUAGUGGCAUGAUACUUUUUUUUAAUCUUAUUUUUGGGCCACACCCAGUGGUACUCAGGGUUUACUCCUGGCUCUGCAAGAAUUAACUCCUGGCGCAGUGCUCAGGACCACAUGGGAUGUUACGAAUGGAACCUAUGUCAGCUGUGCAUAAGGCACAACCCCUACCCUCCGGUAUUUAGCCAGCUCCACUAGUGUAUUUUUAAAGGUAGAUAUUAAGGUAUCCUUGAACCAUGUCAGUUUCUAGUUCAGGAAGUAGUUGGACAAGUCAUGGUAAACAUUACAAGAAUAAAAUGUUCCAGUUUUUCUUUUUAGCAAAUAAAGCAAAAGAUGUGUGCUGACAAGAUCUCAUCUCCUUUUCCUUAGUCUGUCCAUGUGAAUGUGCUGUGUGGAAGAGUAAAAGGGCCCAACUAAAUGUGUUCCAGUGAUUCCAAUAGCUAUUUAGCUGGUACCUACUGCUAAAUCACCUAGUGUGAAAUUGGAAUUAAUGGACCGAUCAAGAACGCUAUCCAGCUGGAGGCUUCAAAUGAGCAUGAAAGGUUCUCCAAUUCCAUGCAGUCUGCUGUGAAAAUGAAUGAAAGCUUGGAAGUUUAUUGGUGAAGACUUGGACAUGCUUAACCAACUAACUUGCUCUCUCACUAAGGGUAAGAUGUCAUACAGUCAAUGUAUAC